rnacentral:rRNA from 1 species
CGGCGAGUGAAGCGGGAAGAGCUCAAAUUUGAAAUCUUCAAGGUUCUACCUUGACGAAUUGUAGUUUAAAGAAGUGUUUUCUGUUAGAUGAGUAGCAAAAGUUCCUUGGAAUGGGACAUCAUAGAGGGUGAGAAUCCCGUAUUUGGUUAUUCAUUCUAGCUUUGUGAUACACUUUCAAAGAGUCGGAUUGUUUGGGAAUGCAGUCCAAAAUGGGUGGUAAAUUUCAUCUAAAGCUAAAUAUUGGCGAGAGACCGAUAGCGAACAAGUACCGUGAGGGAAAGAUGAAAAGAACUUUGAAAAGAGAGUUAAACAGUACGUGAAAUUGUCAAAAGGGAAGCGUUUGACACCAGUGUUGUUUUUCCGAAAAUCAAUUACGAAUGGCUUGAUUUUGUGUUGUAUUGACCUUAUCAGCUUUCUGCACUUUUUUCGAGUCUUUCUUAAUGCACUUUUCGGUUAACAAGUCAACAUCAAUUUCUUUUGUUGUAAAAGAGUAUUCGGAAGGUGGCUUUCUUUUCGGAGAAAGUGUUUAUAGCCCUAUACUUCUACAAUCGGAGAGAUUGAGGUCUGCAGCGUAGAUCCUUCGGGGUUAGAUACACUUGUGCUAAGUUGUAGCUUUUCAUAGACAACUUGUUGACUAUGUUUAGUCAUGCGGCUUACUCGCUUGUGCUAUUUUACCUACGCUUAGGAUGUUGACAAAAUGGUUUUAAACGACCCGUCU